rnacentral:rRNA from 1 species
UGGGGCCUACGGGAGGCAGCAGUGAGGAAUAUUGGUCAAUGGGCGCGAGCCUGAACCAGCCAAGUAGCGUGAAGGAUGACUGCCCUACGGGUUGUAAACUUCUUUUAUAAAGGAAUAAAGUGAGGCACGUGUGCCUUUUUGUAUGUAUUUUAUGAAUAAGGUUCGGCUAACUCCGUGCCAGCAGCCGCGGUAAUACGGAGGAUCCGAGCGUUAUCCGAAUUUAUUGGGUUUAAAGGGAGCGUAGUUGGGUUGUUA